GGUCCUGAGGACUUAAUGCCUCAUCGGUUGUGCAAGGGAGCAGGAGGUUCGUGAGUCACGGUGCUGGAUGAGGCCGGUUCAAGUCAGCUGUUUGUUUCAGUUUCCCCAUUACUUUUGCUAAGGAAGUUUUCUAGCUUCUUACUAUCUUACCUCAUGAAGACUAAUUUUUAAAGAGCAGUUUAAGGGGCACAGCAAAAUCGAAGGAAGUGUUUGACCAUAUGCAAGAAUCUCUUUCUGGACUCUAUUUUCUUCCAUUUGUCCAAUAGCUGCCAAUACCUAUGGUCAUGAUUACCAUAGAUUUUUAACAUCUCCAAAUCAGCCCACCCUAGCAGAAUUUAGAAGGUGGAAGAAAUUAUCAAUGUUUUUGACUCCCACAAGAUACACAGUAUGAUCAGCGAUCAAUUGCAUCACUUCUUUUAAAGUCUGUUGGGGCUUGGUCAUUGCCAUCUGUCACCCAGUUCGCACACAGGCAGCAAAGCACACGGUGGUGUUGCACCUGUGAUUCCCAUCAAGAACCCUCACGACACUUCACAAAAAUGGAUAACUGAAAAGGCAGAAUUGGCCAAAAAAGAAGAAAGAGCAGCAAAAACUCAAAGUUGAUAAUGCUGAAAGUGAAAUUCAAAUAGGAUUCCCAGAACAAGUGACUGACCAUGAGGAUGUUGACAUUGCUGCCAUUCGAGAGACUGUAAGUAUGCAGCCAGGAAGCUUAGUGAGAGGACAUUCAUUGCCAUGAAGGAGGAAUGGCUUGUGAUGCAAAGGAUGAAGCUGUCUUCCUAAACUGAAACUGCAGACCCAUUAAACACUAACACCCCAUUCCGCCUUCCCUCAGCCCCUG